rnacentral:rRNA from 1 species
AGAGUUUGAUCCUGGCUCAGGAUGAACGCUAGCUACAGGCUUAACACAUGCAAGUCGAGGGGAAACGACAUCGAAAGCUUGCUUUUGAUGGGCGUCGACCGGCGCACGGGUGAGUAACGCGUAUCCAACCUGCCCACCACUUGGGGAUAACCUUGCGAAAGUAAGACUAAUACCCAAUGAUAUCUCUAGAAGACAUCUGAAGGAGAUUAAAGAUUUAUCGGUGAUGGAUGGGGAUGCGUCUGAUUAGCUUGUUGGCGGGGUAACGGCCCACCAAGGCGACGAUCAGUAGGGGUUCUGAGAGGAAGGUCCCCCACAUUGGAACUGAGACACGGUCCAAACUCCUACGGGAGGCAGCAGUGAGGAAUAUUGGUCAAUGGGCGAGAGUCUGAACCAGCCAAGUAGCGUGCAGGAUGACGGCCCUAUGGGUUGUAAACUGCUUUUAUAAGGGAAUAAAGUGAGUCUCGUGAGACUUUUUGCAUGUACCUUAUGAAUAAGGACCGGCUAAUUCCGUGCCAGCAGCCGCGGUAAUACGGAAGGUCCGGGCGUUAUCCGGAUUUAUUGGGUUUAAAGGGAGCGUAGGCCGGAGAUUAAGCGUGUUGUGAAAUGUAGACGCUCAACGUCUGCACUGCAGCGCGAACUAGUUUCCUUGAGUACGCACAAAGUGGGCGGAAUUCGUGGUGUAGCGGUGAAAUGCUUAGAUAUCACGAAGAACUCCGAUUGCGAAGGCAGCUCACUGGAGCGCAACUGACGCUGAAGCUCGAAAGUGCGGGUAUCGAACAGGAUUAGAUACCCUGGUAGUCCGCACGGUAAACGAUGGAUGCCCGCUGUUGGUCUGAAUAGGUCAGCGGCCAAGCGAAAGCAUUAAGCAUCCCACCUGGGGAGUACGCCGGCAACG